UUUCCACAUUAAGUAGAAUCCCAUUAUUCUCUUUGUUUUCUCUCUCUAAUCAUGUUCUUUGACAUUGUUAAAAGAAAGCUUUCACACCAUACCUCAUUCUUUAACCUUCCAUUAUGGGCUUUGAUACUUGUUAUCAUUGCAAUAUUCUUUGUUGUUCUCAGUGGUAUCAUUGUAUGUCUAUAUUUCAUUUGUUAUCUUCGAAGAAGAAAGUCUUACAAAGCCAAAUUUUGUAUGUCAAAUCCUAUAGCUUCCAAGAAUCAUCCUUACCAUAGUUCCAGCCUAUCGUCCCUUGAUAGGAGGCUACUCUCACGUAACAUGUACGAGAUUGAGAUGAACAAUAGUAACAGUAGGAGCGGUAAGGGACACCCAGUGUUGUUGUCUGAUCCUUGGUCUAGUCAGAAACGUUGGACAGGGUCAAUUAAAAAAUGUGACGUCACUGAUUUGGAAGAGUUUGCUAGGUACUUGCCAAUGGCUGAGGAUGUUUGGAGGGGUUGCAGGUUUAGUUUAAAGGAGAUUGAGAUGGCCACCAAUGGAUUGGCAAGAGAGAAUGUGAUUGGAACGGUGGAUAAUGGGAUUGUUUAUCGAGGUAUUUUGUUGAAUAACACGCGAGUCGCGGUGAAGAAACUAGUGAGUAGCAGUUGCGAAGCUGAGGACUUCAUAGCAGAAGUGGAGGCCUUUGGGCAAGUUAGGCACAAGAAUCUUGUCAAGUUGCUUGGAUACUGUAUUGAAGGAACUAUCAGGAUGCUUGUAUAUGAGUAUGUAGAUAAUGGUAAUCUGUACCAGUGGCUUCAUGAAAAUUCAGAAGAAGUCAGUCCUCUACCAUGGAAUAUAAGGAUGAAAAUUAUCCAAGGAAUUGCAAAAGGAUUGGCCUACCUUCAUGAGGACCUAGAACCAAAAGUCAUUCAUCGAUUCCUAAAAUCAAGCAAUAUACUCCUUGAUCACCAAUGGAAUCCAAAAAUAACUGAUUUUUGCCUUGCUAAGCUUUUUGGUCCUGAAUGGGGUCACAUAAUUAUGGAAUCAUUAGGUUAUGUAGCUCCAGAAUGUGAUUCAACUGACGAAUUCCCAGAGAAGACUGAUGUUUAUAGUUUUGGGAUACUUGUUAUGGAGAUCAUCUCUGGUGGACCCCUUUAGAUUGCCAUCAACGUGAACCACAUUUGAUUGAGUGGUUAAAGUCCAUGGUUGUGAAUCAGAAAAUUGAUAAUGUGGUGGAUCCUAAAUUGUCAGAAAUACCUUGCUCAAAGGAACUCAAACGAAUUGUUUUGGUAGCUCUUCGAUGUGUGGAUCCUGAUAUAAAAGAUAGGACUAAUAUGGAAGAUGUGAUUCACAUGCUUGAGCCAUGUGACAUGAUACUCAAUAAUCGUUCCGGGAAUAGGAGAGAAACUUCUCAUGAUAAUUACCUAGAAGAGAGGGUUGUUGCCAUAUCAGAUGAUGAUCCUGACAGAACAGAUCAUGGUGAAAGCGGCAGUGAAUCACUUCCAGUAAAUGAUGUUGAAAAAGACACUACUGAUCAUGAAGGUCUCUGAGUUGAAGGUACAGUUUCUUGUAGACAAUUAUCAAGACUAUAUUUCUUCUAUUGAUAAGCUUAAGCCAUAGGAUGUUUGUUCAUUUUGAAUUUCAUUGUUGAGACAAAUCUUUAUAA